UACGGAAGGCAGCAGUGGGGAAUAUUGCACAAUGGGCGCAAGCCUGAUGCAGCCAUGCCGCGUGUAUGAAAGAAGGCCGUUCGGGUUAGUAAAGUACUUUCAGUCGUGAGGAAGGUGUUAAGGUUAAUAACCUUAGCAAUUGACGUUAGCGACAGAAGAAGCACCGGCUAACUCCGUGCCAGCAGCCGCGGUAAUACGGAGGGUGCGAGCGUUAAUCGGAAUUACUGGGCGUAAAGGGCACGCAGGCGGUUAAUUAAGUUGGAUGUGAAAUCCCCGGGCUUAACCUGGGAAUGGCAUUCAAGACUGGUUAGCUAGAGUCUUGUAGAGGGGGUAGAAUUCCAUGUGUAGCGGUGAAAUGCGUAGAGAUGUGGAGGAAUACCGGUGGCGAAGGCGGCCCCUGGACAAAGGACUGACGCUCAUGUGCGAAAGCGUGGGGAGCAAACGAGGGAUUAGAUACC
rnacentral:rRNA from 1 species